rnacentral:rRNA from 1 species
AGUGAACGCUGGCGGUAGGCCUAACACAUGCAAGUCGAAUGGCAGCACAGUAAGAGCUUGCUCUUACGGGUGGCGAGUGGCGGACGGGUGAGGAAUACAUCGGAAUCUACUUUUUCGUGGGGGAUAACGUAGGGAAACUUACGCUAAUACCGCAUACGACCUACGGGUGAAAGCAGGGGAUCUUCGGACCUUGCGCGAUUGAAUGAGCCGAUGUCGGAUUAGCUAGUUGGCGGGGUAAAGGCCCACCAAGGCGACGAUCCGUAGCUGGUCUGAGAGGAUGAUCAGCCACACUGGAACUGAGACACGGUCCAGACUCCUACGGGAGGCAGCAGUGGGGAAUAUUGGACAACGGGCGCAAGCCUGAUCCAGCCAUACCGCGUGGGUGAAGAAGGCCUUCGGGUUGUAAAGCCCUUUUGUUGGGAAAGAAAAGCAGCAGGUUAAUACCCCGCUGUUCUGACGGUACCCAAAGAAUAAGCACCGGCUAACUCCGUG